CCCUCAGAGGUCAAUACAGACUCGGCAGAGUUGUCAAGGUAAACAGUGACAAGUUUGGAGUUGUCAGGGAUGUGAAAGUAAGGACUUACCCGAGCUAUCCUGUUUCAAACAUGAAGACCAAACAAAAGGAAAGCAAGCCUGCAACAAACAUUCCUGCCACAAUCCUACACCGUGAUGUCAGGCGCAUCAUUGUGAUUAUACCAGUUGAGGAACAGAGUGCUCCGAAUAGAGGUGAGACCAAUGUCUGACCUCCUUGGUUCAAGAACCAGGAGCUCAAGUGGGAGGUGUUACGUUCAAUCAGAGAUUAUCUCCACCCGGGCCAAACAUGUUAACUCCACCCGGGCCGGACAUCCCCAUGAAAAAACAAACACCCACCUCACCUCAUUCACCACUGAAAAGAGCUUUCACACCUGCAUCUCUAUUUGAUCUGAUUCCACUCCAGCUCCAGAAUACAAACCAAAGACACAACCGCCCUAGGUCAACAUGAUCCCAAAGGGUUCUCUUUGGUGGAGGAGGUGCAACAGUCUGAGCAGACAUCACUGAACUACCCCUCAUUUCGAACGGCCAGCAAGUCUCCAGACCUGAACCCCAAAGAGGACAUCUGGGAGCAGCUGAACCAGAGACUGAAUGGUGGUUCCCCACACCCAAGUGCAUGUAGCAUUUGUAAAAGAACAGAGGAACAACAUCAUGACACUAACAAGGAGCAUGAGACGUCACUGUCAAGCUGUCAUCGUGGUAAAUGGUGGAAAUACCCACUGCUGAGACGGUCAUUGUUUGGUAUUUGGGCCUUUUUUUAUCGAUAUCUUAAUGUUUACAGUAAUAAGUAUCUCAUGAAAAAGGUUUUUCUUUCCAUUCAUUAUUAGUUAUGUCAAGGGGAACUUUUACAUAUUUCAUUAUUUAUUUGAUUUAAAAUCAAAUAAGAAAAGCAUGCAUGCAAAUAAAAAUAUCCCUCCCUUGCUGUGAGUAGUUUAAUGUUCUCAGGUUUGUCCGAACAGAAACCCAAAGAUAAGGAUGCUCAAAAACCUCCCUCUACUGCUAAAGGACAAAACUAACAAAACAACAACACUAAUUAAUGUAUUAAAACCCAAGAAACCUUUCCUGAUUAACAGGUUUAAUCAUAAACUUACACAACUGAUGAUUUUCAGACUGGUUACACUGAGGAUCACAUCUGUUAAAUGUUGUUAAAUGUUACUACAAGCAACCAUUUAUCAGGUUUGCCAUUGAUGAAUAUGCAAUGUUGUCGUUGCCUACAGAUGUCGGAAAUAGAUCAAAGUAACCCAUGCAGUGUUUGUCAAAUAUGAAUGUGUUAGGAGCCACUGUUUGGCAUCUAUAUUUAGCAUGUCGACAGGCGUUAGCACACAAAUGGCUGCUGUUUUAGUUUCAAGCAGGAACAUCAAAAAAAGAGCACAUUUGUUCUACUUGUAAAAUGAGUAAAAAAAA